UCUUAGAAAACAGGUUCAAAACAGGGGCGC
rnacentral:piRNA from 1 species